GAUGAACGCUAGCUACAGGCCUAACACAUGCAAGUCGAGCGACCGGCGCACGGGUGAGUAACACGUAACCCUCCCGCCCUUUACUCGGGGAUUGCUUUUCGCAAUAAAGAUUAAUACCCGACAUAAUGGAUGGGGAUGCGUUGCAUUAGGUUGUUGGUAAGGUAACGGCCAACCAAGCCUUCGAUGGAUAGGGGUUCGGAGAGGAAGGUACACCAGAAUGGAGCUGAGGCACAGACCAAACUGCUACGGGAGGGAGGAGUGAGGAAUAUAAGGCAAUGGGCGGUGGCCUGAACCAGCCAAGUAGCGUGAAAAAUGAAGGCUUAUGGGACGUAAACUUCUUUUAUAGAAGAAUAUGUAUUAGAUGAAUAAGGAUCGGCUAACUCCGUGCCAGCAGCCGCGGUAAUAC
rnacentral:rRNA from 1 species